UUUCCCUACGGGGGGCAGCAGUGGGGAAUAUUGCACAAUGGGGGAAACCCUGAUGCAGCGACGCCGCGUGAGUGAAGAAGUAUUUCGGUAUGUAAAGCUCUAUCAGCAGGGAAGAAAUAGCGACCUUUGGGUCGCCAGACGGUACCUGACUAAGAAGCCCCGGCUAACUACGUGCCAGCAGCCGCGGUAAUACGUAGGGGGCAAGCGUUAUCCGGAUUUACUGGGUGUAAAGGGAGCGUAGACGGCGUGCCAAGUCUGAUGUGAAAGGCCGGGGCUCAACCCCGGGACUGCAUUGGAAACUGGCA
rnacentral:rRNA from 1 species